rnacentral:rRNA from 1 species
UGCGAGGCGGUUCUUCGGAACUGUCGAUUACGACACUGACUAUCUGCGGUCUUUUUGAAGAUACCAUGCGUCGGUCCUUUGUUGGAUCGAUGACUUGGGAACUCGUCAAUAAAAUACGUAGAACUAAUGCCAAGAUCACUUUGGUGGUCUUAAGCUUAGGUCAGAAGUCAACUCAACCUGAGAGUUUGAUCCUGGCUCAGAGCGAACGCUGGCGGCAGGCCUAACACAUGCAAGUCGAACGAACUCUUCGGAGUUAGUGGCGGACGGGUGAGUAACACGUGGGAACGUGCCUUUUGGUUCGGAAUAACUCAGGGAAACUUGUGCUAAUACCGAAUGUGCCCUUCGGGGGAAAGAUUUAUCGCCAUUAGAGCGGCCCGCGUCUGAUUAGCUAGUUGGUGAGGUAAUGGCUCACCAAGGCGACGAUCAGUAGCUGGUCUGAGAGGAUGAUCAGCCACAUUGGGACUGAGACACGGCCCAAACUCCUACGGGAGGCAGCAGUGGGGAAUCUUGCGCAAUGGGCGAAAGCCUGACGCAGCCAUGCCGCGUGAAUGAUGAAGGUCUUAGGAUUGUAAAAUUCUUUCAGUAGGGACGAUAAUGACGGUACCUACAGAAGAAGCCCCGGCUAACUUCGUGCCAGCAGCCGCGGUAAUACGAAGGGGGCUAGCGUUGCUCGGAAUUACUCGCGUAAAGGGAGCGUAGGCGGACAUUUAAGUCAGGGGUGAAAUCCCGGGGCUCAACCUCGGAAUUGCCUUUGAUACUGGGUGUCUUGAGUAUGAGAGAGGUAUGUGGAACUCCGAGUGUAGAGGUGAAAUUCGUAGAUAUUCGGAAGACACCAGUGGCGAAAGCGACAUACUGGCUCAUUACUGACGCUGAGCUCGAAAGCGUGGGGAGCAAACAGAUUAGAUACCCUGUAGUCCACGCCGUAAACGAUGAUUGCUAGUUGUCGGGAUGCAUGCAUUUCGUGACGCAGCUAACGCAUUAGCAAUCCGCCUGGGGAGUACGUCGCAGAUUAAAACUCAAAGAAUUUGACGGGCCCGCACAAGCGUUGAGCAUGUGGUUUAUCGAGCACCGCGCAGAACCCUUACCACUUGGACAUGCCUGAACCGCCCAAGAGAUCCGCUUUCCUUCGGAACUAGACAGUCGUGCAUGACUGUCGUCAACUCCGGUUCCGCUGGAACAAG